GGCUAUUCAGCCUCUGAUUUGUCCCUCCAGGCAGUGUCAGUCUGAAGCUGGACCUAUCAUUGGGUGUCCAUUUCCCCAACUUCUGUGCCAUCUUUACCACUGAACAUUUUGCAGGCAGAAUAAAUUGUACCUGAGAGAUGGAAAGUGAUACAUGACUGACUCUUACUCUUACCUCAUUGUCCUUCUCAAAUUGAAUUUACUUUAUAUAAAUGUAUUUCCUUCUUUUUAAAAUUUUUCUAAUAAAAUAUAGUACAAGUACCUUGUAAUCAGCUG
rnacentral:lncRNA from 1 species